UACGCGGUUCAAUCUCUCUGCCGAUUCUCCCCUGCCUUCGAUGCACAACCUCUAGAAGGCAAACCCUAGAGGUUCUCCAUAACUCUUCGAUGCACAACCUCUAGAUCGACAACUCCAGAAAUGAUGGUUGUGGUUUGACUAAGAAGAAGAUGUUGACGGUGGUUAUGGCCUGAAUAAAAAGAUGACUGCUACAAGGAUUGGUUUUGGGUUUCGCCGGUUGUGGCCUGACGACUAGAGAGUGACGGAUUACGAAUAAUUAUACAACAGCAAUAUUUUGAAGGUGUGGUUCAAGGCACAGGGCGGCGGUUAGGGUUCCAUCACCACAUAAAUCUGACACUUCUUUCUCAUUGUUAUUAUUGGGAGUCGGCUCGCGGAGGUUACAAUGAUCAGGUCUUAUACCCUCAGAGAAGGGUUGAUGUCUUAUAAGCAAUUUAUUCAAGAGCUUGAAGAUGAUGUUCUGCCAUCAGAAGCUGAACGAAGGAGAAAUGAGGCGGCUUAAAAGCUGGCUAAGGAGUUUUUGCAUGACUUGCAAAAUGGGUCAUUAGACUUGUAAGAGACGUUGUCAUGAUAUCACCUUUACAUCGUCUAUUGUAUUCUAAUUAGGCCUGUAAAUGAACCGAAUUUCAACCGAACACUGACACAAACAAGAACAUAUAACCGAACACAUUUUUUUUUGUUUAUGUUCGUUUAUUAAGAAACUGGGCAUGGUCCUGUUUUUAGGGUAGUGAAUCGGUUCCUUAUUUUAUGUUUGAUCAGUUCUCGGGUCGGGUAAUGGUUGGGUAGGGUCGGUUUUUCCUUUUGCUCACCCCUAUUUGGUGUGAUGUCAACUUCCAAGCUAUCCAACUGUGUGUGUCAUUAUUUUAUUAUAUUUAUUUAUUUAUUUUAUUAUUAUUGUUGUUGUUAAUAGGGAGCAGAGUAUAAAUACGGUUAUAGGUUCACCUUAGGUAUUCGGUGUGAAACUUUAUAUUAAGUUGUAUAUACUAUUUGA